UACGGAGGGUGCAAGCGUUAUCCGGAUUCACUGGGUUUAAAGGGUGCGUAGGAGGGUAGGUAAGUCAGUGGUGAAAUCUCCGGGCUCAACUCGGAAACUGCCGUUGAUACUAUCUGUCUUGAAUGCCGUGGAGGUGAGCGGAAUAUGUCAUGUAGCGGUGAAAUGCUUAGAUAUGACAUAGAACACCAAUUGCGAAGGCAGCUCACUACACGAACAUUGACUCUGAGGCACGAAAGCGUGGGGAUCAAACAGG
rnacentral:rRNA from 1 species